rnacentral:lncRNA from 1 species
AAAAAAAAAAAAGUGACUAAAUUUAUUUUUAUUUUUACUUUUUGGUAUCGGGGAUCUAACUCUGGACCCUGCACUUGUGAGGCAAUAAGUGACUAAAUUUGGCCAGGGACUUUAUUUAGUUUGCAAACCUCUGACCUGGAAUCUAAUUUAAGCUCCAAUAGGGCCAGAAUUUUUAACUACUUUUUUUGGUACUAGGUAUGGAACUAGAAUCCUUGUGCUUGUGAGGCAGGCAGCAGAACCACUGAGCUAAAUCCCUGGCCCCUUAACUAUUUUUAUAUAUAAAAAUAAAUAGUAAGUUACCUAUAAUCCCAGCACUCGGGAGACUGAGGCAGGAGGAUAACUGUGAAUUCGAAGGCAAACUGGGCUACAUAGUGAGUUCAAGGCCAGUCUGAGGUACAUAAGGGAGACACUGUGUCAGGGGGUCGGUGGGAGGGGAACAAAAGAAAAAGGAAACCAAAGCCCAGAAGUAAAGUAACAUGCCCAUGGCUACCAACUGAUUGGUGACAAAUCCAAAAUCUAAACCCGUGUAGUUGGGCAUCAGAGUACAGAACUCUUAAUUACUCCAUUCUGCAGGGUGACAGGAAAUCAUCAGCUGUUCUCACAGGCUUUGGGAGAAGUUACUUUAACUGGAGUUUUGGUUUGUUUUGAGACAGGGCCUCGCUAAGUAGUUUAGACUGACCUUGAACUCACUAUGUGGAAAAGGCUGGCUUUGGGCCGGGGAUUUAGCUCAGUGGUUGUGCUGCCAGCUUCGCAAGCACAAGGUCCUGAAUUCAAUCCCUUGUACCAAAAAAGAAAAAGGAAAAAAAAGAAAAGGCUGGCUUUGAACUUGCAUAUUCCUCCAGCCUCAGCCUCCCGAGUGCUGGGAUUUCAGACGUGCACCACCAUGCUCAGCUUCAGUGUAACUGGACCUUGGAGAACCAAGAAUGUACCAGGAAGAAAACAAGAAAGGAGAAAGAAGCUUUGUGUUCUAGGACAUGGAAACUGCAGAUGUUACAUGUAUCUUGUACAAUGGUCCAAAGCUGGAAAGGUCUUCCCGCUGCCUGCUUUCAGCCCCUGUCCUGUGUCACAGAAGCACUCGCCGAGUCCGGUGAGAAAGAGGACCUACACUGAGAGGGGAAGGAGGAUGGGUUGGGCUGGGGAGCAGGGACUCACAGUGCUGGCUGUACCAGGCUGA